rnacentral:rRNA from 1 species
CGAAGGGGGCUAGCGUUGCUCGGAAUUACUGGGCGUAAAGCGCACGUAGGCGGCUUUCUAAGUCGGGGGUGAAAUCCUGGAGCUCAACUCCAGAACUGCCUUCGAUACUGGAAAGCUCGAGUCCGGGAGAGGUGAGUGGAACUGCGAGUGUAGAGGUGAAAUUCGUAGAUAUUCGCAAGAACACCAGUGGCGAAGGCGGCUCACUGGCCCGGUACUGACGCUGAGGUGCGAAAGCGUGGGGAGCAAACAGG